rnacentral:rRNA from 1 species
UACGGAGGAUCCAAGCGUUAUCCGGAAUUACUGGGCGUAAAGAGUUGCGUAGGUGGCAUAGUAAUUAGACAGUGAAAGCGUGUGGCUCAACCAUAUAUACAUUGUCUAAACUGCUAAGCUCGAGGAUGAGAGAGGUUAUUGGAAUUCCCUGUGUAGGAGUGAAAUCCGUAGAUAUAGGGAGGAACACCGAUGGCGUAGGCAGAUAACUGGCUCAUUUCUGACACUAAGGCACGAAAGCGUGGGGAGCAAACGGG